rnacentral:lncRNA from 1 species
GACCAAGAGAAAGAGAAUAAGGCAAAGAGGCAUAAGUAUUGUUGCCCAACAGAAUUAGGAUCUGAAUUAAAAUUAACCCAUAUUAAAAAUACUCUAAGAUCUUGCCUCCAAAACUAUGCAAACAGGACUGAUUGAAUUAGAUGGAUUCCACUGAACCAUCCAAUACACCCGGAAUUGCUGAGUCAAAAGUAAUAAGGCUCAGAAAUGCUCAUGUUACCAAGCAGUUCUUGCUACAAAACAAUACGUCCGCUAACAAGACACAUUAAUGCAUUAGUUUGCAACAAGGCUUAUGUAUUGUAUACUAUUGCAUAUAAAAAAUUUCUUUAACCCCUGUUUUAGCUAGAAAAUACCACGCACCACAUCUCGGGCCCCUUACUCGUUAUCGUCCAAUAAGCAUACUACAUAGAGAUAACCAGCAAUAUUUCCCUCUUAGACCAAGCUAGUCACUUGGACUGAUACGUUCAAAGCUCACGCAAUAUGGAGUUUGGAAACCUGGGAGCUCCUU